CCCAACCAGAAUGGAUCGCCCUUCGCCUGCUUCUUCUUCCCUUUGAAGUGUUUCACAACUUUUGGUGAUGGAGGAAAAUGUGGACCCUGAACACCAGAUGAUUUUUGAAGAUCCAAAAAGCAUGCAGAUUGAUCCUAAAAGAGCACGGUUUCCCUACUGCAUUGUCUGGACACCCCUUCCUGUAAUAUCAUGGCUGAUUCCUUUCAUUGGCCAUAUUGGCAUAUGUAGAGAGGAUGGAGUAAUCCUGGACUUUGCAGGGCCUAAUUUUGUGUGUGUUGACAAUUUUGCAUUUGGUGCUGUGACUCGUUACAUACAGAUUGACAAAAAAAAGGAAUGUUCCAUUUCUCUCCAUCGAUCUGUAUUCAAAAGUGAGGAUGAUGAGUAUGACCUGGAUCUAACUCAAAGAGAGACAUGGACAUGGGAUGAUGGAUUACGGAAGAGCACACAGGAAUUUCAACAUCACUCAUACAGUCUUUUUACUUGCAAUUGCCACUCUUUUGUUGCCAACAGCCUAAACCGAUUGGGUUUUCAUUCUGGUGGGUGGAAUGUGGUGAACCUUGCUGCUUUGAUGUUCAUCAAGGGUCAUUGGGUCAGUACAGGAUCAAUGGUGCGAUCUUACUUGCCAUUUGUUGUGGUAUGUGGUAUGGGACUGGUAUUUGGUGGCUUGACCUUUCUAACUUUUUUGGCCUUCUUCACCUUCCUUCUAGUGGGUUGGUUUCUUCUUGGUACCUAUUGUUUUAAGAAUUUGAUCCAAUUGUAGCCUUUCUGUUAUCUGAUCUUCUUCCUGUAUAAGAAUGUAGUUAAGCAAAACUUGUGGUUCAGGUGUAUACACAAUUGAAACUAUGAAUUAUUACAAAUUAGUUUCUUUGUUGGAAAACAUCCAUGUAAUUGUUUGGUUUCCACUCAAUUAG
rnacentral:misc_RNA from 1 species